UGUUUUUCUGCAUCUGAAGACUGAUUUUCUAAAUUGAUACGUGUGUAUUUCAAGUUGCAAUGCCUCUGUUCGACGAUCUUCGUUGAAUCGUUUCUGGUUUGGUUGGAAAUUUUAAUUGUCACAGCUCUCCACACUUCACCUGAUUCGAUCCGUCAUCAUCUCCAUCCUCAUAUUCGAUCUUCUACUCCAUUUUUCUUGUAAGACGACGAUGAUUCGUUCGAACCCUAAGCCCCUUUUGCACCUCCUUUUGUUGCCCUUCUUUCUUCACCGUCACUCUUCUCUCUUCAACGUCGCUGUUGCUCAGUAAUCUCUCUCCACCUGCUGCAACCUCUGAGCUCGUCGCCGAUCUGCUCUCUUCUAUUCUUCUGUGCCUCUCUCCGCCGCUGCUCUGUUUUUGCUGCAAAUCUGCUCUGGCCGCCGAUUAGAUAUCGCGGCAGCUCUGCUCUUGCCGUUGCUGCUGUGCUCUCUGUCGCCGCCGGUCAAUUCUCUCAAUCUGUCUGCUCGCUUGUAGAUUUCUGUGCCUACGCCGCUGCUCUGUUUUCGCUGCAAAUCUUCUCUCACAGCCGUUCAGAUCGCUGUCUCUGCUGUUCUUUCUGCUUGCGCAAUCUCCGUCGCUUCCUCGUACUCGCUCGCCGCCGAAUGAUGUCGUCUUCAGACAUUACUGGAAUCUUGGAUAACUCAAAGGAGCUUGAUCGGUUAAGGAAAGAGCAGGAGGAUAUUCUGCUUGAGAUCAACAGGCUCCACAAGAAGCUUCAAACAGCUCCUGAAGUAGUUGAGAAGCCUGGGGAUAAUUCAUUAGCCAGGCUUAAAAUUUUGUAUACUCAAGCAAAAGAUCUUUCAGAUAGUGAAGCACAAAUUUCCUCUUUACUGAUAAACCAACUUGAUACACUACUGCCUUCAGGACAAGGUCAACCGCGAAGAAGAAUAGGGAAAGAAGGUAAUGAGCAGAAAAGGAAACGAGUGAAGACCGAGUCAGAUAUUUCUAGGAUGAGCAAUCUUAAGGGUGAGCAGGUAGCAGCUAGGGUCACACCACGUAAUGCUGAUAAGGAUGAAUGGUUUGUUGUUAAAGUGAUCCAUUUUGAUAAGGAAUCAAAAGAAGUUGAAGUUCUAGAUGAAGAACCUGGUGAUGAUGAAGAGGGAAGCGGCCAAAGACAAUACAAGCUUCCCAUGGGGAAUAUAAUUCCUUUCCCAAAGAGCAAUGAUCCUUCAGGUGCUCCGGAUUUUCCGCCAGGCUCACAUGUUUUGGCGGUCUAUCCUGGAACUACUGCACUUUACAAAGCAACAGUUGUACAUGGCCAUCGCAAGAUAGAAUUCUGUUGAUGCUGACAUGCUACUGAGUACUAACCAGCAAUAUUGUGCAUGUUCUGGGGCAAUCUUUUUCAUUUCACACUUGUGCAGAGGAAGACAGACGACUAUGUGUUGGAAUUUGAUGAUGAUGAAGAAGAUGGGUCUUUGCCUCAAAGGACGGUUCCCUUCCACAAGGUGGUUGCUCUGCCAGAGGGUCAUCGCCAAUGAAUUUAAGCAAUUUAGGGUUGGUUUGUGAGUUGGGUUAAAAAGGGAGAAAAUGAAAGGUUUGUAAUGUAAAUUUUAGACUAAAUGCUCCGAACUCCAAAGCCAAACUUAUGAACAACCCUUAUAGUUUGUGUAUAAAGUAGGAAUGGCGUUGUUGCUUUACGUGCUGGUUGUGUAAUAUGAUUUGUUAUAUUCUCAUUUUUGUGUAAUGAUCACUGACUAAUAUACGUUUGGAUGGGAAAAAGGUUUGGAUGGGAAAAAGAUUUUCUUAAGCGAGGAGAUUGUAAAGUGAUAAAAUGAGUAAUUUAAUUAAUUA